GUACGAACGAAUGUGUGUGUCUCUCUCUCUCUCUCUCUCUCUCUCGGUGUGUGUGUGUGUGUGUGUUGGUUGCGGCAGGACAACAGCAGAAGCAGCACACGAAGAUGCCAAUGCCAAUGAGGACACAGCAGGAUGCGAGAUGGACGCAAAAGCGAAGGAAAGGGGCAAAGGGAAAGAGAAGACGAAGCAGCUGGAUAUGAAGUUGGAAAUCGUCCUGUGAUGGCCCAGUUGGGGCUGCUGCUGCUGUUGCUGCUGUGGCACUCUGUGUGGACGUCUGUGGGCGUCACAGUUGCCGCAUGCCUUUGCCACGUUUUCCACAUUUCUUCGGCUUCUUCACCGUUAAUGGUUUUAUCUUUUCCUUAUUGUUGCCGCUGCCACAAAACGUUGCACCCACCCAUAGAUCGAUCGAGUGGCAAGCGUCCGAGUCCGAGUCGGAGUCCGAGAGUCAGAGCCAAAGCCUCGAGUUUCCGUUUUCGCACAGCGAAUUCGAACAGCGACCGCAGAGCAGACGACAGUCGGACGCUGAACAAAUACUCAACUCUCUUGUCUAAGAGAGGGAGAGAGGGGCAGGUGCAGCCACAAUAGACAAUGACAAACGAAUAGCCGCAGUCGCAAGUCCAACUCGAAACUCAAACUCAAACUCACAACUCGCAACUCGUUCAUUCCUGCAUUCGGCGCCCAGUUUCAGUUCGAGUGAGUGUCAUUUGCUCUAGAAACAUUUGCCAAAAUAAAAUACGAACAAUUAAACUUUGUUCAGCUGCUGGCAACGAAUUUCAAAUACCCUACCCUUUGGUAUUUUUAGGUAUACCUUAUAGUUAAGGAGAAAGAUGUGUGUAAUGUUUAUUAAAAAGUUAAUCGCUUACUUUUGGUUUACGACUUUUAAAAUUCUGCAAAUUUACUUCAUUCUGUAAGUAGUUUAUAGUAU